rnacentral:rRNA from 1 species
GAUGAACGCUGGCGGCGUGCCUAAUACAUGCAAGUCGAGCGAACGGACGAGAAGCUUGCUUCUCUGAUGUUAGCGGCGGACGGGUGAGUAACACGUGGAUAACCUACCUAUAAGACUGGGAUAACUUCGGGAAACCGUAGCUAAUACCGGAUAAUAUUUUGAACCGCAUGGUUCAAAGGUGAAAGACGGUCUUGCUGUCACUUAUAGAUGGAUCCGCGCUGCAUUAGCUAGUUGGUAAGGUAACGGCUUACCAAGGCAACGAUGCAUAGCCGACCUGAGAGGGUGAUCGGCCACACGGGAACUGAGACACGGUCCAGACUCCUACGGGAGGCCGCAGUAGGGAAUCUUCCGCAAUGGGCGAAAGCCUGACGGAGCAACGCCGCGUGAGUGAUGAAGGUCUUCGGAUCGUAAAACUCUGUUAUUAGGGAAGAACAUAUGUGUAAGUAACUGUGCACAUCUUGACGGUACCUAAUCAGAAAGCCACGGCUAACUACGUG